ACGCAAUAGAUACCCAGGUAGUCCACGCCCUAAACGAUGUCUACUAGUUGUCGGGUCUUAAUUGACUUGGUAAACGCAGCUAAACGCGUGAAGUAGACCGCCUGGGGAGUACGGUCGCAAGAUUAAAACUCAAAGGAAUUGACGGGGACCCGCACAAGCGGUGGAUGAUGUGGAUUAAAUUCGAUGCAACGCGAAAAACCUUACCUACCCUUGACAUGGAUGGAAUCCCUGAGAGAUUGGGGAGUGCUCGAAAGAGAACCAUUACACAGGUGCUGCAUGGCUGUCGUCAGCUCGUGUCGUGAGAUGUUGGGUUAAGUCCCGCAACGAGCGCAACCCUUGUCAUUAGUUGCUACGAAAGGGCACUCUAAUGAGACUGCCGGUGACAAACCGGAGGAAGGUGGGGAUGACGUCAAGUCCUCAUGGCCCUUAUGGGUAGGGCUUCACACGUCAUACAAUGGUACAUACAGAGGGUCCGCAACCCGGCGAGGGGUAGCUAAUCCCAGAAAGUGUAUCGUAGUCCGGAUUGUAGUCUGCAACUCG
rnacentral:rRNA from 1 species